ACUUUCCUUUCUCGCUCGCUCCUUCCUUGCAACCAUCGAAAACCCAUCUGCCUUCUUCUUCGCGAGAUCCAGGGAGAAACUGAACACUGCACGCCAUGAGGUGCUCAGAAACGGAUCGAUCAACCAGCAGUAGCAAGCGCGGUUGUGCAUCAUGCAUGCAUGUUUGUUCUUCUUUUCUUUUGAUUUGUUGUUGGUCGUUUAAUUUGUCGCCGCCGCCGCCGUCAUGGUUAGUUGCGACGACGAUGGCUGGAUGAA
rnacentral:precursor_RNA from 1 species